UUACGGGAGGCAGCAGUGGGGAAUCUUGCGCAAUGCGCGAAAGCGUGACGCAGCAACGCCGCGUGAGGGAAGACGGCCUUCGGGUUGUAAACCUCUUUCAGUUGGGACGAAGCCUCGUCGGUGAACAGCCGGCCGAGGUGACGGUACCUUCAGAAGAAGCCCCGGCUAACUACGUGCCAGCAGCCGCGGUAAUACGUAGGGGGCGAGCGUUGUCCGGAAUCAUUGGGCGUAAAGCGCGUGUAGGCGGCUCGACAAGUCCGCUGUGAAAGUCCAGGGCUCAACCCUGGGAUGCCGGUGGAUACUGUCGAGCUCGAGUCCGGAAGAGGCGAGUGGAAUUCCUGGUGUAGCGGUGAAAUGCGCAGAUAUCAGGAGGAACACCGAUGGCGAAGGCAGCUCGCUGGGACGUGACUGACGCUGAGACGCGAAAGCGUGGGGAGCAAACAGGAUUAGAUACCCUGGUAGUCU
rnacentral:rRNA from 1 species